GAUAAGAUAAGCUAAUUAAGCUCUUGGGCUCAUGCCCCGAAUAUGGCGGUUUAACCCCGCCUCUUAUUA
rnacentral:tRNA from 1 species